rnacentral:rRNA from 1 species
AUGAAGGCGAUGGUGCAGAUUCGAUUUGAUCCUCAUGGCCACCCAUGGAUCUUGCUGCAGGAGGUGUGUUUUGGAGAACCAACCUCAGAUGCAGGAGGUGGGUUCUUGGGUCGUGCUCUGCUCGAGCAUGAGGGCCCUGAGGGGUUUGAUCCUCUGCUCCUAGGGCGACCAAGAGGUCCUGCCUCGAGCUCAAGCACAUCCACGCCGACCCAUGACGACGCGUCCAUAAUAGCUCGCUCAAUCAGUAUUGGCUGUGACGUCGACGGCGAACUAAACCUUGCUGCCACACUCUGCAACAUCAGCAGGUGCCUUCGUUCGGACUCUACAAACAUACCUAAAAAUGGUGUUCCCUCUCAUUUAUAG